UACGGAGGGGGCUAGCGUUAUUCGGAAUUACUGGGCGUAAAGCGCACGUAGGCGGAUCGUAAAGUCAGAGGUGAAAUCCCAGGGCUCAACCUUGGAACUGCCUUUGAAACUUCCGGUCUUGAGUUCGAGAGAGGUGAGUGGAAUUCCGAGUGUAGAGGUGAAAUUCGUAGAUAUUCGGAGGAACACCAGUGGCGAAGGCGACUGACUGGACAAGUAUUGACGCUGAGGUGCGAAAGCGUGGGGAUCAAACAGG
rnacentral:rRNA from 1 species